rnacentral:rRNA from 1 species
AUUGAACGCUGGCGGCAGGCCUAACACAUGCAAGUCGAGCGAGCGGCGCACGGGUGAGUAAUGCCUGGAAAUUGCCCAGUCGAGGGGGAUAACAGUUGGAAACGACUGCUAAUACCGCAUACGAUUGGAUUGCCCAGGUGGGAUUAGCUGGUGGGUGAGGUAAUGGCUCACCAAGGCGACUAUCCCUAGCUGAUCUGAGAGGAUGAUCAGCCACCUUGGAACCGAGACACGGUCCUGACUCCUACGGGAGGCAGCAGUGGGGAAUAUUGCACAAUGGGGGAAAUGCUGAUGCAGUCAUGCCGCGUGUGUGAAGAAGGCCUUCGGGUUGUAAAGCACUUUCAGCGAGGAGGCGUUAAUCGCAGAAGAAGCACCGGCUAACUCCGUGCCAGCAGCCGCGGUAAUAC